UCCGACUCCUCGCAUGGGGUGUCGGGAAAGAUUUCAUCGGUAUGGGAUGGGGUCGCGUCCUAUCAGGUAGUCGGCGGGGUAACGGCCCACCGAGCCUACGACGGGUAGCCGGCCUGAGAGGGCGACCGGCCACAUUGGGACUGAGAUACGGCCCAGACUCCUACGGGAGGCAGCAGUGGGGAAUAUUGCACAAUGGGCGCAAGCCUGAUGCAGCGACGCCGCGUGCGGGAUGACGGCCUUCGGGUUGUAAACCGCUUUUGAUCGGGAGCAAGCCUUCGGGUGAGUGUACCUUUCGAAUAAGCACCGGCUAACUACGUGCCAGCAGCCGCGGUAAUACGUAGGGUGCAAGCGUUAUCCGGAAUUAUUGGGCGUAAAGGGCUCGUAGGCGGUUCGUCGCGUCCGGUGUGAAAGUCCAUCGCUUAACGGUGGAUCUGCGCCGGGUACGGGCGGGCUGGAGUGCGGUAGGGGAGACUGGAAUUCCCGGU
rnacentral:rRNA from 1 species